CCUACGGGUGGCUGCAGUGGGGAAUAUUGGACAAUGGGCGAAAGCCUGAUCCAGCCAUGCCGCGUGUGUGAAGAAGGCCUUCGGGUUGUAAAGCACUUUCAGUGGGGAAGACAGCCUUGGGGCUAAUACCCUCGAGGAAGGACAUCACCCACAGAAGAAGCACCGGCUAACUCCGUGCCAGCAGCCGCGGUAAUACGGAGGGUGCGAGCGUUAAUCGGAAUUACUGGGCGUAAAGCGCGCGUAGGCGGUCUGAUAAGCCGGUUGUGAAAGCCCCGGGCUCAACCUGGGAACGGCAUCCGGAACUGUCAGGCUAGAGUGCAGGAGAGGAUGGUAGAAUUCCCGGUGUAGCGGUGAAAUGCGUAGAGAUCGGGAGGAAUACCAGUGGCGAAGGCAGCCUUCUGGACUGACACUGACGCUGAGGUGCGAAAGCGUGGGUAGCAAACAGGAUUAGAUACCCCAGUAGUC
rnacentral:rRNA from 1 species